UCGGGUAUGGUGUAACGGCUAACAUUGCCGCCUCUCAUCUCUAUACACUGCGCGGCAGCUCGGGGUUCGAUUCCCCGAACCCGAA